UACAGAGGGGGCAAGCGUUGUUCGGAAUUACUGGGCGUAAAGGGCGCGUAGGCGGCCUGCUAAGUCGAACGUGAAAUCCCUGGGCUCAACCCAGGAACUGCGUCCGAUACUGGUUGGCUUGAAUCCGGGAGAGGGAUGUGGAAUUCCAGGUGUAGCGGUGAAAUGCGUAGAUAUCUGGAGGAACACCGGUGGCGAAGGCGACAUCCUGGACCGGUAUUGACGCUGAGGCGCGAAAGCGUGGGGAGCGAUCCGG
rnacentral:rRNA from 1 species